CAGUCGCCGCGGUAAUACGAAGGGUGCAAGCGUUACUCGGAAUUACUGGGCGUAAAGCGUGCGUAGGUGGUGGUUUAAGUCCGUUGUGAAAGCCCUGGGCUCAACCUGGGAAUUGCAGUGGAUACUGGGUCACUAGAGUGUGGUAGAGGAUAGUGGAAUUUCCGGUGUAGCAGUGAAAUGCGUAAAGAUCGGAAGGAACAUCUGUGGCGAAGGCGACUAUCUGGGCCAACACUGACACUGAGGCACGAAAGCGUGGGGAGCAAACAGGAUUAGAUACCCCGGUAGUCCCUGUCUCUUAUAC
rnacentral:rRNA from 1 species